rnacentral:rRNA from 1 species
GACGUAGGGCGCGAGCGUUGUCCGGAUUCAUUGGGCGUAAAGAGCUCGUAGGCGGUUCGAUAAGUCGGGUGUGAAACCUCCAGGCUCAACCUGGAGACGCCACCCGAUACUGUCGUGACUAGAGUCCAGUAGGGGAGCGUGGAAUUCCUGGUGUAGCGGUGAAAUGCGCAGAUAUCAGGAGGAACACCAGCGGCGAAGGCGGCGCUCUGGGCUGGAACUGACGCUGAGGAGCGAAAGCGUGGGGAGCGAACAGG